rnacentral:rRNA from 1 species
CGCUAUCACUCCUACGGGAGGCAGCAGUGGGGAAUAUUGCACAAUGGGGGAAACCCUGAUGCAGCCAUGCCGCGUGUGUGAAGUAAGGCCUUCGGGUUGUAAAGCACUUUCAGUAGGGAGGAAGGUAGUGUAGUUAACACCUGCAUUAUUUGACGUUACCUACAGAAGAAGCACCGGCUAACUCCGUGCCAGCAGCCGCGGUAAUACGGAGGGUGCGAGCGUUAAUCGGAAUUACUGGGCGUAAAGCGCAUGCAGGCGGCCUGUUAAGUCAGAUGUGAAAGCCCGGGGCUUAACCUCGGAAUUGCAUUUGAAACUGGCAGGCUAGAGUCUUGUAGAGGGGGUAGAAUUUCAGGUGUAGCGGUGAAAUGCGUAGAGAUCUGAAGGAAUACCAGUGGCGAAGGCGGCCCCCCUGGACAAAGACUGACGCUCAGAUGCGAAAGCGUGGGGAGCAAACAGGAUUAGAUACCCUGGUAG